CAAGAUUCUCGGGGUAAGGUGAAAUUCCUGACCGGCGGUGAUGUUCAAAGCGAACUAAGCCCGCGACUUCUUUUCUCUUCAGAGAAAAGAACUGAUCUGGUGCCAUUCCAGAGCCGACGGUAAAGUCCGGAUGGGAGAGGAUCAUA
rnacentral:ncRNA from 2 species